CGUUCAAUUUAAUUUUAAAAGUGAACCAAACCAAACCAAGGAUUCAUAUACUAAUCGCUUACCCCUAACCCAUGUGAGUCACUUUACCAAAAUUUCCCAAAUCAGCCGAACCCUUAUCCCUUUGAUGCCCCUUCCUGUGUCGUGACCAAACAGACGGCUGAAGCUUCCCGUGUUGUGUCGACUGAAGCUUUUUACUUGCUUCAGAGCUUUGAGCUCUUUCAUGCUUAAAGAAAAUCUCGAAACUUCUGUAUUUCAGGUUUUACAGACCUAUUAGUUGAAAUCAUGCAUCACUCAAAGGAUGCAAGCUUUAAGGGAUCAUUUCUUAUUGUGUUCAACAUGGGAAGAGAACUUCGUGAACAUCCUGUUGAUGCCAAAUUUGAGAGUUAUCAUCCAAGUUGCAUGGGGUGUUGGGAUGAACUCUACAAUCAAUUGGGAUUGGUUAAGGCUUGAUUCCAAUUAUGUAACAAUAUCAUUUAUAUUGAAUGAUUAGAGGUUUUCUUUCAUCAAUAAGACAUCAAUUAUAAUAAGUUAUGAGUCUAAUUGGAUGAAAUCCAUGAGAUUAAUAUGCCUUGUAAAGGAACUGUAAUGAGUUGCAGUUAUAAGAUUCCUAUGCAUUAAAGCAUAAUAUCAAAAUGUUCUUGGUCAAUGUAUCAUUAAGAUUGGAGAUCAAUGAUGCUUACAGAUUGAUAUA